ensembl:rRNA 5S_rRNA 5S ribosomal RNA
GUCUACGGCCAUGCCACCCUGAACGAGCCCGAUCCCGUCUGAUCUCAGAAGCUAAGCGGGGUCGGGCCUGGUUAAUACUUGGAUGGGAUAGAAGGCUUGCAUUUCAUUAAAAACUAGAUCACCAGGUGCUCUAGGCG